GACGAACCGUGCGAACGUCGUUCGGAAUCACUGGGCUUAAAGGGCGCGUAGGCGGGCUGCCAAGUCCGUAGGUGAAAUCCCCCGGCUCAACCGGGGAACGGCCUCGGAUACUGGCGGCCUGGAGGGGGGUAGGGGCGUGCGGAACUGUGGGUGGAGCGGUGAAAUGCGUUGAGAUCCACAGGAACUCCGGUGGCGAAGGCGGCACGCUGGACCCUUUCUGACGCUGAGGCGCGAAAGCCAGGGGAGCGAACGGG
rnacentral:rRNA from 1 species